UACAGAGGGGGCAAGCGUUGUUCGGAAUUAUUGGGCGUAAAGGGCGCGUAGGCGGUGCGGUAAGUCACCUGUGAAAUCUCUGGGCUCAACUCAGAGUCUGCAGGCGAAACUGCCGUGCUUGAGUGUGGGAGAGGUGAGUGGAAUUCAUGGUGUAGCAGUGAAAUGCGUAGAGAUCAUGAGGAAGACCAGUGGCGAAGGCGGGUCUCUGGACAGUUCCUGACACUGAGGCACGAAGGCCAGGGGAGCAAACGGG
rnacentral:rRNA from 1 species